UUUAACUGCAAGAGAACGAAUUGAUGCUGCAUUACUGGAGGGAGCACAUGCAUUGGAGCAAGUCUUAUCCAAAGGCUUCUCCGAAAGUUCUAAUUGUUUCAAUACAACGCAGAAGUACAAGCACAUACGAUUGCAGACAUUGCCAACGUGACGUCAUGCAUAAAGGUUGAGCUAGGAUCAAGUACUCACUUAAAUUCUCGGAAUACAGCUAUGUGAAGUGCAGAAAAAUUGCAGGACUUUUGAGAAUUCUCCGGUUUCCUGUACAAAAUUUGUGUAUCACUUCUUAUUCGACAACUGUAAGUUGGUGAAAAGGAGCUCCAGGAACCAAAUGGGAGUAAAAUUUUUGCGUAAGAACCAUUUGUAUUGUCUUUCCAUAAUUGUACAUUGGCAUUCAUAAUAUAUAUCAGCCGUGAAAAUGGUAAGGUUAACUUUAUCAUAUGACUAG
rnacentral:misc_RNA from 1 species